rnacentral:rRNA from 1 species
CCCUUAGAUGUCCUGGGCUGCACGCGCGCUACACUGAUGUGUCCAGUAAGCACCUAACCUCUUCCGAAAGGAACGGGUAACCUUUGCAAAGCACAUCGUGAUGGGGAUAGAUUAUUGCAAUUAUUAGUCUUGAACGAGGAAUUCCUAGUAAGCACAAGUCAUCAGCUUGUGUUGAUUACGUCCCUGCCCUUUGUACACACCGCCCGUCGCUCCUACCGAUUGAGUGCUCAGGUGAAUAAUUCGGACUGCAGCAAUGUUUGGAUCCCGAACGUUGCAGCGGAAAGUUUAGUGAACCUUAUCACUUAGAGGAAGGAGAAGUCGUAACA